rnacentral:lncRNA from 1 species
GCUUAACGAACGAACAGCCGUAACUUCACGACCGUAACUCGGAUUGAGGUAAAACCAACGCCCACAUCUUCGGCUCGUUGAGCCCGUUUCGAUGGCAUCAUUUUCAUAAUGUGUUUACACAGUGAAAAUGACCAUUUUGCCCUUACCCGUAAACAGCCCCUUCGAGAGAGAACUAUUCCCGACAAUCCUAUCCGCAAACUUGCUGCACUUCCUCCCGGCGUAUUCGUCAACCCCUCAGGCAAGCCAACGUCUUAUCAUGAGCUCCAGACUUGCGUAAUGACUUUGCUUGCACCCUGUGUGUUUAUCUGUAUCACCUGUUAGUCUGCAUUUGCAUACACGUGUGAUGACAUUGGUAUUAGCUACUAGCAUUACUCUUCAUCUAAUGUCGUGUCUUGUUUCCAUAUUACCAUACUAAUAAUAAUAUUGUUAAUAGCAUUGACAUGUUAGUACUAUGGUUUGAUCUCAUGCCAUAAUUAUCAGCACUAUGAUUUUGCUAUGUUGUUGUUUAGCACUUAUACUUGUCGAGGUAAUGGUAUGGUGAUGGAUAGGUUGAGUUGAGUCAACAAAUGCAACGUAGUUGGUUGAUCUUGAGUCACCUGUCCGGGCUUAUUCGUGCAACCACAUUUGCCGACAUGGGACGGCCUUGACUUGGUCUGAUCGCGUUCUCUUUCACCGGUACCUCUAAAGAGGGAGGGUUAUGCGCGCGUGAUGACCCGCAAGUAUAGGGGAUCAAUCGUAGUCCUUUCGAUAAGUAAGAGUGUCGAACCCAACGAAGAGCAGAAGGCUCUGAUAAAUGGAUUUCAGCAAGGUAAUAACUGCAAGCACUGAAAGUAGCGGUAACAAGUGAUUGUGUAGCGAGGUGAAACGUAGCAAGCAAAGAGUAACAAGUAACAAGUAGUAGCAAUGGUGCAGCAAGUGGCCCAAUCCUUUUUGUAGCAAGAGACAAGCCUGAACAAAGUCUUAUAGGAGGGAAAAACGCUCCCGAAGACACACGGGAAUUUCUGUCAUGCUAGUUUCAUCAUGUUCAUAUGAUUCGCGUUCGUUACUUUGAUAGUUUGAUAUGUGGGUGGACCGGCGCUUGGGUACUGCCCUUACUUGGACAAGCAUCCCACUUAUGAUUAACCUCUCUCGCAAGCAUCCGCAACUACAAAAGAAGAAUUAAGACAAAGUCUAACCAUAGCAUUAAACUAGUGGACCCAAAUCAGCCCCUCACGAAGCAACGCAUAGACUGGGGUUUAAGCUUCUGUCACUCCAGCAACCCAUCACCUAUUUACUACUUCCCAAUGCCUUCCUCUAGGCCCAAAUAUAGUGAAGUGUUAUGUAGUCGACGUUCACAUAACACCACUAGAGGAAAAACAACAUACAUCAUAUCAAAAUACCGAACGAAUAUCAAAUUUACAUGACUAUUAUCAGCAUGACUUAUCCCAUGUCCUGAGGAACAAAAGUAACUACUCACAAGACAUAAUCAUAAUCAUGACCAGAGGUGUAAUGAAUAGCAUCAAGGAUCUGAACAUAAACCCUUCCACCAAAUAAUCCAACUACCAUCAACUACAAAGAGUAAUCAACACUACUAGCAACCUUACAAGUACCAAUCGGAGUUGCGAGACGAAGAUUGGUUACAAGAGAUGAACUAGGAAUUGGAGAGGAGAUGGUGCUGAUGAAGAUGUUGAUGAAGAUGCCUCCCCUCCGACGAGAGGAGUGUUGGUGAUGACGAUGGCGACGAUUCCCCCCUCCGGGAGGGAAAUUUCCCCGGCAGGAUCGUCCUGCCGGAGCUCUAGAUUGGAUCUGCUCAAGUUCCGCCUCGUGGCGGCGGCGAAACCACGAAAAAGCUCCCGUAUGAUUUUUUUUCUAGGUCAGGACGCUUCAUAUAGCAAAAGAGGGGGCUAGUGGGCCUUCAGGCAGCCCACAAGCUUGCCCACCGCCACCAGGGGGGUGGUGGUGGAGUGGGGGCUUGUGGGGCACUGGUGGCCCCCCUCCGGUAGUUCUUUCGCCCAGUACUUUUAAUAUAUUCCAAAAAAAAUCCACGUAAAUUUUCAGGGCAUUUGGAGAUGUGCAGAAUAGUGGACUAGGAUUUGCUCCUUUUCCAGUCCAGAAUUCCAGCUGCCUGAAUUCUCCCUCUUCAAAUAAUCCUUGCAAAAUAAGAGAGAAAAGGCAUAAAUAUGGUACCACAAGUAAUAUAACAGCCCAAGAAGCAAUAAAUAUCAACAUGAAAGCAUGAUGCAAAAUGGACGUAUCAGCGCGUGCUACCCUGAUCAGGUAGGCGACGAUAACCCUCUGAGCCAGUUGAGUUGUUUGGUGUACCCGUCCCCGUUUGGGACAGUUUUGUUUGGCCACGAUGGUGGCAGGUGUCAUGAGGACACAAGGGCCACCCAGGACAGGACUCUGGGGGAGGAUGAAUGAUUGUGGUACGAUGGGAGAGUCACGGGUCACACAAGUUUCGUUGGAGCAACAUUGGUCCACCCGAAUGGGAUCACAAGGUCACACGCUCCAUGGUGUGGGUAAAGUGUGCAACCUCUGCAGAGUGAAAAAUCUAUUCAAAUAGCCGCGUCCAGGGUAUUGGACAGCCCGUCCAGACCUCAGUAGGUGGUCAACCAUAACAAUGAUAACAAUGAUGGAAGAACUCAUCUUGUGUAGACAUCAUAGGAUAUCGGGAAUAUGAUAUGUUAGCCAUGAGAUGGCUAUAUGAUGAGUGGUCGGAUGACCAUAUGAUUUGGAUGGGAUUUGGAUCCGUUUAGGUUGGAUUAUAAGUAAUUCGAGGGUUGUGGGACAACCCAGAAGGGAGUAAGUUGGUAUUCGGUAACAGUAAGUACUUCAAGUACCUAGUGUGAUUAUUGCCAUGCUAUGUAGAUUACAUGCUGCUCCAUGUUAUGCUAUGCUUGAUCCAUGCUUUCCUGUUAAUUCUAUGUCAUGCUUAGAAUAGUCAUAAGCAUAGGGCUAGCUUUGUCAUCUGCUUGUUUGGAUGCUAUGUAUUUGGUUGUCUUGCGAGUACAUUCAAAGUACUCACCUGGCCUUGCAUGUGGCUAGUUGCAGGAGAAGGUCCAUCGUGCUAGAUCGUAACCCAGCCAGUCAUGUGAGUUAUGAAGCCCAACCAAAGCCGUCGUUGCCGCCGAACCAAGACCUCCGCUGCCAUUUAGUCAGCCAUGGAUCUAUGUAAUAUUGUUGUAAUCAACAGUAUUGUAAU